AUUGAACGCUGGCGGCAUGCCUUACACAUGCAAGUCGAACGGUAACAGGUCUUCGGAUGCUGACGAGUGGCGAACGGGUGAGUAAUGCAUCGGAACGUGCCCAGUAGUGGGGGAUAGCCCGGCGAAAGCCGGAUUAAUACCGCAUACGACCUGAGGGUGAAAGGGGGGGAUCGCAAGACCUCUCGCUAUUGGAGCGGCCGAUGUCAGAUUAGCUAGUUGGUGGGGUAAAGGCCUACCAAGGCAACGAUCUGUAGUUGGUCUGAGAGGACGACCAGCCACACUGGGACUGAGACACGGCCCAGACUCCUACGGGAGGCAGCAGUGGGGAAUUUUGGACAAUGGGCGCAAGCCUGUUCCAGCAAUGCCGCGUGCAGGAAGAAGGCCUUCGGGUUGUAAACUGCUUUUGUCAGGGAAGAAAUCUUCUGGGUUAAUACCUCGGGAGGAUGACGGUACCUGAAGAAUAAGCACCGGCUAACUACGUGCCAGCAGCCGCAGUAAAAC
rnacentral:rRNA from 1 species